rnacentral:sRNA from 12 species
UGACUUCGUGGUAGAGCGCCACGAACGGAAAAUAAAGAAAGCUCGAUUGAA